rnacentral:rRNA from 1 species
GCAAAACGCGAAGAACCUUACCAAGGCUUGACAUAUACGAGAACGCUGCAGAAAUGUAGAACUCUUUGGACACUCGUAAACAGGUGGUGCAUGGUUGUCGUCAGCUCGUGUCGUGAGAUGUUGGGUUAAGUCCCGCAACGAGCGCAACCCUCGUUCUAUGUUGCCAGCACGUAAUGGUGGGAACUCAUGGGAUACUGCCGGGGUCAACUCGGAGGAAGGUGGGGAUGACGUCAAAUCAUCAUGCCCCUUAUGUCUUGGGCUUCACGCAUGCUACAAUGGCCGGUACAAAGGGCUGCAAUACCGUAAGGUGGAGCGAAUCCCAAAAAGCCGGUCCCAGUUCGGAUUGAGGUCUGCAACUCGACCUCAUGAAGUCGGAGUCGCUAGUAAUCGCAGAUCAGCAACGCUGCGGUGAAUACGUUCCCGGGUCUUGUACACACCG